rnacentral:rRNA from 1 species
AGCAUAUCAAUAAGCGGAGGAAAAGAAACCAACAGGGAUUGCCCUAGUAACGGCGAGUGAAGCGGCAACAGCUCAAAUUUGAAAUCUGGCCUCGGCCCGAGUUGUAAUUUGCAGAGGAAGCUUUGGGCGCGGCACCGGCUGAGUCCCCUGGAACGGGGCGCCAAAGAGGGUGAGAGCCCCGUAGAGCCGGAUGCCUAGCCUGUGUAAAGCUCCUUCGACGAGUCGAGUAGUUUGGGAAUGCUGCUCUAAAUGGGAGGUAAAUUUCUUCUAAAGCUAAAUAUUGGCCAGAGACCGAUAGCGCACAAGUAGAGUGAUCGAAAGAUGAAAAGCACUUUGAAAAGAGGGUUAAACAGCACGUGAAAUUGUUGAAAGGGAAGCGCUCGUGACCAGACUUGGGCUGGGCGGAUCAUCCGGUGUUCUCACCGGUGCACUCCGCCCAGCACAGGCCAGCAUCGGUUCGCGUGGGGGGAUAAAGGCCCCGGGAACGUAGCUCCUCCGGGAGUGUUAUAGCCCGGGGUGCCAUGCCCUCGCGCGGACCGAGGUUCGCGCAUCUGCAAGGAUGCUGGCGUAAUGGUCAUCGGCGACCCGU